rnacentral:rRNA from 1 species
CAGUAGCCGCGGUAAAACAGAGGGUGCGAGCGUUAAUCGGAUUUACUGGGCGUAAAGCGUGCGUAGGCGGCUUCUUAAGUCGGAUGUGAAAUCCCUGAGCUUAACUUAUGAAUUGCAUUCGAUACUGGGAAGCUAGAGUAUGGGAGAGGAUGGUAGAAUUCCAGGUGUAGCGGUGAAAUGCGUAGAGAUCUGGAGGAAUACCGAUGGCGAAGGCAGCCAUCUGGCCUAAUACUGACGCUGAGGUACGAAAGCAUGGGGAGCAAACAGGAUUAGAUACCCCCGUAGUCCCUGUCUCUUAUAC